rnacentral:rRNA from 1 species
AUUGAACGCUGGCGGCAGGCCUAACACAUGCAAGUCGAGCGGAUGAAGGGAGCUUGCUCCUGGAUUCAGCGGCGGACGGGUGAGUAAUGCCUAGGAAUCUGCCUGGUCGUGGGGGAUAACGUCCGGAAACGGGCGCUAAUACCGCAUACGUCCUGAGGGAGAACGUGGGGGAUCUUCGGACCUCACGCUAUCAGAUGAGCCUAGGUCGUAUUAGCUAGUUGGUGGGGUAAAGGCCUACCAAGGCGACGAUCCGUAGCUGAUCUGAGAGGGUGAUCAGUCACACUGGAACUGAGACACGGUCCAGACUCCUACGGGAGGCAGCAGUGGGGAAUAUUGCGCAAUGGGCGAAAGCCUGACGGAGCAACGCCGCGUGAGUGAGGAAGGUCUUCGGAUCGUAAAACUCUGUUAUUAGGGAAGAAGAAAAGUGUAAGUAACUAUGCACGUCUUGACGGUACCUAAACAGAAAGCCACGGCUAACUACGUG